GCUCCAGUGGCGCAAUUGGUUAGCGCACGGUACUUAUAAACAGUAUACGUUGUUGAGCAAUGCCGGGGUUGUGAGUUCGAGCCUCACCUGGAGCA
rnacentral:ncRNA from 12 species